GACGAACGCUGGCGGCGCGCCUAACACAUGCAAGUCGAACGAGAGAGAGGGAGCUUGCUUCCUCAAUCGAGUGGCGAACGGGUGAGUAACGCGUGAGGAACCUGCCUCAAAGAGGGGGACAACAGUUGGAAACGACUGCUAAUACCGCAUAAGCCCACAGGUCGGCAUCGACCAGAGGGAAAAGGAGCAAUCCGCUUUGAGAUGGCCUCGCGUCCGAUUAGCUAGUUGGUGAGGUAAUGGCCCACCAAGGCAACGAUCGGUAGCUGGACUGAGAGGUUGAACGGCCACAUUGGGACUGAGACACGGCCCAGACUCCUACGGGAGGCAGCAGUGGGGAAUAUUGCACAAUGGGGGAAACCCUGAUGCAGCGACGCCGCGUGGAGGAAGAAGGUCUUCGGAUUGUAAACUCCUGUUGUUGAGGAAGAUAAUGACGGUACUCAACAAGGAAGUGACGGCUAACUACGUGCCAGCAGCCGCGGUAAAACGUAGGUCACAAGCGUUGUCCGGAAUUACUGGGUGUAAAGGGAGCGCAGGCGGGAAGACAAGUUGGAAGUGAAAUCUAUGGGCUCAACCCAUAAACUGCUUUCAAAACUGUUUUUCUUGAGUAGUGCAGAGGUAGGCGGAAUUCCCGGUGUAGCGGUGGAAUGCGUAGAUAUCGGGAGGAACACCAAUGGCCGAAGGCGGCCUACUGGGCACCAACUGACGCUGAGGCUCGAAAGUGUGGGUAGCAAACAGGAUUAGAUACCCUGGUAGUCCACACCGUAAACGAUGAUUACUAGGUGUUGGAGGAUUGACCCCUUCAGUGCCGCAGUUAACACAAUAAGUAAUCCACCUGGGGAGUACGACCGCAAGGUUGAAACUCAAAGGAAUUGACGGGGGCCCGCACAAGCAGUGGAGUAUGUGGUUUAAUUCGACGCAACGCGAAGAACCUUACCAAGUCUUGACAUCCUGCGACGGACAUAGAAAUAUGUUUUUCCUUCGGGACGCAGAGACAGGUGGUGCAUGGUUGUCGUCAGCUCGUGUCGUGAGAUGUUGGGUUAAGUCCCGCAACGAGCGCAACCCUUACUGUCAGUUACUACGCAAGAGGACUCUGGCAGGACUGCCGUUGACAAAACGGAGGAAGGUGGGGAUGACGUCAAAUCAUCAUGCCCUUUAUGACUUGGGCUACACACGUACUACAAUGGCGUUAAACAAAGAGAAGCAAGACCGCGAGGUGAAGCAAAACUCAGAAACAACGUCCCAGUUCGGACUGCAGGCUGCAACUCGCCUGCACGAAGUCGGAAUUGCUAGUAAUCGUGGAUCAGCAUGCCACGGUGAAUACGUUCCCGGGCCUU
rnacentral:rRNA from 1 species